rnacentral:rRNA from 1 species
ACCCGUUCCCAUGCCGAACACGGAAGUUAAGCUCUCUAGCGCCGAUGGUAGUUGGGACUUUGUCCCUGUGAGAGUAGGACGUUGCCGGGC